rnacentral:rRNA from 1 species
UACGUAUGGAGCAAGCGUUAUCCGGAUUUACUGGGUGUAAAGGGAGCGUAGGCGGCGGCCUAAGUCUGAUGUGAAAACCCGGGGCUCAACUCCGGGAUUGCAUUGGAAACUGGGCAGCUGGAGUGUCGGAGGGGCAGGCGGAAUUCCCAGUGUAGCGGUGAAAUGCAUAGAUAUUGGGAGGAACACCAGUGGCGAAGGCGGCCUGCUGGACGAUAACUGACGCUGAGGCUCGAAAGCGUGGGGAGCAAAC